CGUGUCAGAAAAUUACACUAUGACAGAAACAACUACCAUCUCUGGACAAACAUCAUCUGGAUUUUCAUUUCAUGUGCCUAUCAUGGUCAUAGUGUUGAUUUUGCUGAUUAUUGGACUGUUGCUGUAUGGAGCAUAUAAGUGCUUUUUCUGGGUUAUGUACAAGCGGGCACAGAUAAUGGGGUUGCCAGCCCAAGCACUCUUGUCACGUGUAAAGGUGUAAAAAUCAUUGUACAAACUUGACUAAAUAAAGAUUAUUUUAUUGAAAAAGAGAUGUAUGAUAUCUUGUUUGUUGUCAUCACGUAACAGGUCAUAACACACGCAAUUAGAACAUCAUCAGACAUUGUAUGUGUUUUGGAUUGGAAGGUUAUGGUUUUGUUCUUGUGGUAUAUACAUUUGGUAUUUUUUAUCUGUUCAAUCAGAUAGGAGAUUGGGUCACUAGACAGCAGGACAGUGUUAGAUACCACGGUUUGGCUGGCACAGAGCAAUCCCUGGUUCAAUGAAGAGAUAAAGUUUUGGAAGGCCAGUGUCUUGUCUCCACUCAACAUAUAAAUAGGCCAUUGCAUUCCAGUCUUGUCUCUGUAGGAGGCAAACAGGGUUGGUAGUUUAAUGUUGUGGGAAAUAAAAGUUGCUAUGGCUACAGCUGAGUCUUGAUUGCUAUUUCCCUCUAUUAUACACCUGAUUUCUUGAAUCCAGGGGUGUUGAAACAAUAUUCCCUCCAACAGAGCAGUGGCACAUGAGGCUAUGUUGUGAGCAGCAGUUCCAGUGAGGUUGUUCAGGAAGAAAUGUUCCAACCCUAAGAUAAUACACUUUUUAGUGUGUUUACAGUGACUCAUGGCAACUAUACCAGUUCCAGAGGCGUGGACGUUGUUUCCAUAGGCGGGGUCAAUAUACACAAAAAGUGUAUUUUCUGUAGUUGGGGCCCCCUGGCCCGCAGUGUCACACCUAUAAAAGUCUAGCCGGGUCAGACUGGACUCGUGUAUCAUACUGUUCCCAGAGACUUCCGUGUGUGAUUGCAUAUUGCCCAUUAAUUCUGUGGCAAAUGAUCCCUCUAGCAGUAAAUUGGUGGUACACUUUAUAUUAUCAUUGAUGGUGAUAAAUUCUGGAACAUACAGGCGAUAGCAAGGGCAGGCAGUGAUUGCGCUCUGUUUGUUGAAGUCUUCCAUAUGUUCGCUACAGACAUAGCUGACAACGUUCACCAUCUUCUCAUUGGCAUCUUUGAGGUUAUACAAAAAACUUGUUGUCUUCUCUCCUGAAUUUACAGAGGAGAUAAAAAAGAUCUUGGCAUCCUUCUGUAACAUAAACCCCAAGAUUGCUGGAAGUGCUUCCUUCUUUAUGAAAUUUGCUUCAUCAACAAACAGUAGAUUAAAUGUCUGCCCCCGGAUGCUCUGUGAAUAAAUCAAAGAAUCUGGUUACUGAUCAGGAUCUCCUGGAUGUGGUGAAUUUUUUUAACAGACCAUUACAUGCUCUCAUUGCUGAGGUGUCAAAAACCACUUCUGAUUUGGAACUUGUCAGGUCAACCACCCAAGGUAUUGAAAAUAUCUGUCUCCUGCUAGACUUGGUAGGAACAGAAUGUAUAAAAGAUGCAAGCGCGGCCAAGACAAGUGUAUGAUGCGGCCUCUUUCUAACCCUUUAACAGAGGCCUAUAACGUGCAAAAUUUGUACCAGUGUCUAAAUUGUGAUGAUUAUCACUUGUGUAAUGGUUCUCUCAACUGUGAUCCUCUGGUGGAUCGAGAGGGAAUUGUGUGCACAGUCACUGGAAAGUAUAUCCAGUGUAAUGUCAGGGAAUCACCCAUGUGUGGGGCAGCGUGUCUGGACGUGGACAUUCACCCAGAGGACAAUACAGACUGCAUUCUGCGGGCACUGUUUGGUGACAUUGUAGAUAUUAUUAAUAAAUUGGAUGAUAUUGCUGAAAUUAAAGAUAAGAUCCUCGCUGGAGACUCCCUAAAUGAGCACAUCAAGAAGAAAAUUGAGUGUACCUUUCCAAUGUGCGCCAACAUCAUUAAUUGUAAUAGCCAAGGCUAUUCCAUACUUUGUAGCAUGUUUGUCCAUAUUAUUAUGUCAAUCUAUGCCAACAAAACCAUAUAUGGCCACAUGCUAUUUAAAUGCACCAGAAAUAAAAAGUAUGACACCAUUGCCAAGAAAAUUAGAGAGAAAUGGAUGUAUUUAGAAUAAAUAAAAAAAGUGUUCCUUUACAACAAGAUGAGCUCCUGGUCGAUCUGUUUCUCCCAGAACAUUUAUUGGCAAUUUAUGGCAUACUACCCAACAGGAACUUUGUGUACACCUCCUCUGUGUGUGAUUAUCAAUCUGGUCACGUCCUGCCUUAUAGAAGAGUUUGGGGAAAAUUUAUGAAGGCAGGUGAGUCUGGAGGCCCAGUUGGAAGUCAGGGGCUGUGUGUCUCUAUUAUUGUGAGAGUUCAUCAGAAUCUUUCUUGCCUGGACAUGGCCCUGUUAAAAGUUUCAAACUGGGAUGAGGGCUUCUUUAGAAUAAUUAAAUUUUCUCUGCUUAAUCUCCUUAGAAUGUUCUAUAUCACCUCAGUCCCACCCGUCACCAGGCUCAAAAAAACCGCCUUUGAGGAGCUCUGCAACCAAGUGUCCAGUGAUAAGCCCCCUGCCCACGCAGCUGCGUCUUUUCUCCUGUCUUUGUUGCCCAACACCGUCUGUGAGACUACCAAAACACACUGUGCGCUGGAGAACCCUGGCUACAUCAGAGGCUCAAACCCACCCACGUGUCAAACACAGCCAGCCACGGAGACACUGCCCUGUAAGAACAGGAGGACAGAAAGGCAGCCCAGGACAGAGUACAGUUGGAAAUUGCUCCACCAUGUUGAGAAUGGUGCUCCCUACUAUGUUGAAGAUACCCAUAACCCCAUAGAGGCACAACAUAUUCAUCAGAAGCUAUUAACAGUCAUGACUGGAGACCCCCCCGCCAAAGCCCCAACUGACAUAUUUUUAAUGGAUACUGACUUCCUCCACGCUGUUCAAAAUAGAUUCAUCGACUCAAUUGAUCUCCCUGGUGUCAAAGAUGGUGGUUUGAAUAUUUUUCAGAAGUUUUCCAUCUUCAUCACUUAUGAUGAGACCACUAAACAUUUAUAUGAAAUUUUCCUAGACUCUCUAAUCACCCUCAGAAGCAAAAGCUCCAAAUAUCCUGCUUGGCUUAUGGCAUACUAUCACGGGCCUUCCUUUCAGGGGGUGUGGUUAGAUAUUGUAAAUGCCACUGCAACUGGAGAGGUAUUCAAGGGGGAUUCCAUAUAUUUAGGUAAAUGUCACGAGGGACUUUCUCCCACAUCAAUAGAUAAGCUAUUGAAAGGGCGUGGGAUAUUUUACAAUAAUUUGGUUCUUCUUUUGGUUCACUCAGAUCUGACUGCUUGGCUACUUCUUCCUGGAGGAUUUGUUAUUAAAGGAACAUACAUUCUGGGAAUUCAAGAAAAGGCCUUUGUUGGCAGAUAUUAUGGCAACCAAAGAAGAUAUAAUUCAGACAUUUCUGAAUAAAGAGUGUAUAUGGAUUGUAAAUAAAGCUUCAUGUU
rnacentral:tmRNA from 1 species